UGUAUUGGUCUGUACUUCGGUAAAUAGGCUAUUCACAGCAAUGCUCUAAGCGAAGGAGACUAGAUAAGCUUUACGCUGAAUUUUUCAAUUUUUGUGGUACCUCUAAAAUUAAUGUUACGAAUGGCUGGGUAAAUAAAAGAUUGAGUAUUGGGUCAACCAAAUACAAGAUUCUUUGAAGAAUACUGUAUAACUGUUAUCUUCUGUUACUAAAUAUUCUUUUGUUAAUUUUUCAUU